AUGCACGCUGGCGGCGUGCCUCAUACAUGCAAGUCGAGCGAACAGACGAGGAGCUUGCUCCUCUGACGUUAGCGGCGGACGGGUGAGUAACACGUGGAUAACCUACCUAUAAGACUGGGAUAACUUCGGGAAACCGGAGCUAAUACCGGAUAAUAUAUUGAACCGCAUGGUUCAAUAGUGAAAGACGGUUUUGCUGUCACUUAUAGAUGGAUCCGCGCCGCAUUAGCUAGUUGGUAAGGUAACGGCUUACCAAGGCAACGAUGCGUAGCCGACCUGAGAGGGUGAUCGGCCACACUGGAACUGAGAAACGGUCCAGACUCCUACGGGAGGCAGCAGUAGGGAAUCUUCCGCAAUGGGCGAAAGCCUGACGGAGCAACGCCGCGUGAGUGAUGAAGGUCUUCGGAUCGUAAAACUCUGUUGUUAGGGAAGAACAAAUGUGUAAGUAACUAUGCACGUCUUGACGGUACCUAAUCAGAAAGCCACGGCUAACUACGUG
rnacentral:rRNA from 1 species